GCAAGUUUUAUUCAUGACCAUAAAACAGAGAUUAGCUCUUAUCUCUGGCACGCAGCAAUAUCAGGCACCAGCCCUUGCUCCAGAGCUUUGGCAGCCGAGGACCAGAGCAGCACACGAAGAGGAACUUCUUGGAAAAGGAGGAGGAGGAGGAAGGCAUUUGCUCGAGACUAAUUGAAUUUUCUGCCCGUGAAGAGAAGGACACGACACAGACACCCUUGAUUCCUCCACAAAGGUUGUGCAAACCCUGCAGUGCCUCCAGGAAGGAUGUGCAAACCCCUUGGUCUCUCCACACCUCCUCCAGGGAUGGGACAACAGCUGAUCCUCAAGAAUGGCAGGUCUCCAGCACCUCCAGAGAGCAGGAGGACUUGAGGAAGAGCGUUUCUAUUCAACAGCAUCCAAGGAGACCCAUGGUCAACAUGGUGAGAGCCUGAAAUGUGGCAGUGCCAAAGCAAAAACCAAAUGGGAGAAGCCUCGUCCCACCCGUUGGGAGCCAGCGCCGAUCCUGGGACAAGGUCCCUGCUCCCAUCCACCAGAGUGGGUUAAUGCUGCUGCAGCUCCCUGCUGGAACAGGGCCAGAGGAAAAAGGCUCCACCAUUUCCCGGUCUGCCUGGAAAACAGGCCAGCUGUUUUCUCCAGCAGCAGAAGGUUGUUUAUUCUGGGCCAGAUUCAACAGCGCGUUGUCCCCCCAGCCCCGCUCUCCAGCCUGCGGUGAGGCUGAAGGGCACAACCUGCCCGGGGGGAGCCGGGCACUCUCCCACCUGGUGUGACCCCUCCCUGGGCGCCACUCUGCCCUUUCUGUCCCCAUCCCUUUCCUUUCCUCGUCUGGCUCCAAGCAGGGCUGGGGACGCCCUUUCCUGCCUGGCACCCGGCUGGCCCGACAGCAGACGCGGUGCUGCCAAGCACCACCACACCGCUUCCCCUCCGCAAUCCUGGCCAAACCCCGCCACGUUCUCAUCCUCUCUGCUGCACUAUCAACCUGAAAAACGUGCCUGGGGGAGAAAGAAGGACUAAAGAAAGGAAAAAGAAAGGAAGAAAGGAACCAGCCUUUGGCUCAGGCGUGCCAAAGGGAGCAUGAGCGCGCGCGGGCUUGGCUCCCUUCCUCGCCAGCUCUUUUCCCAGCAGAGCCAUAAGGGACAGGGCGAGUACAAUUGUGAGUGGAGCAGGUCCCAGCGGCUCAGCUGGCUCUGGGCUGGGAUAGCCAAGGGACACUGAGUGCUCCACAGAGACAUAUUUCCAAAAUAAAGUCAUUCUGGUGCUCCUCCAGCCCCGCCAGCCACCCAACAGCUCGCCGCAAAGCAUCGCUGCCGCCCCCACAGCCAAAAUAAAGCUGUGAGGGGCCCUGACCCUGCAGAGGCGAGGCUGAGUGCUCCCCAGGCAGCCCCUUCCUCCAGCCACAGUGGUUCUCAGUGUGAAGAGCAGCACGGGGCUUGGCCG